rnacentral:rRNA from 1 species
UACGGGGGGUGCAAACGUUGCUCGGAAUUAUUGGGCGUAAAGCGCACGUAGGCGGUCUUGUAAGUCGGGUGUGAAAGCCCGGGGCUUAACCCCCGGAAGUGCACUCGAAACUGCAAGGCUUGAGUAUGGAAGAGGGUCUCGGAAUUCCCGGUGUAGAGGUGAAAUUCGUAGAUAUUCGGAAGAACACCAGUGGCGAAGGCGGCUCACUGGACUGGUAUUGACGCUGAGGUGCGAAAGCGUGGGGAGCAAACAGG